UGUGUGUUAGUGGAAGCGUCUGGAAAGGCGCGCGAUACAGGGUGACAGCCCCGUACACAAAAAUGCACAUGCUGUGAGCUCGAUGAGUAGGGCGGGACACGUGGUAUCCUGUCUGAAUAUGGGGGGACCAUCCUCCAAGGCUAAAUACUCCUGACUGACCGAUAGUGAACCAGUACCGUGAGGGAAAGGCGAAAAGAACCCCGGCGAGGGGAGUGAAAAAGAACCUGAAACCGUGUACGUACAAGCAGUGGGAGCACGCUUAGGCGUGUGACUGCGUACCUUUUGUAUAAUGGGUCAGCGACUUAUAUUCUGUAGCAAGGUUAACCGAAUAGGGGAGCCGAAGGGAAACCGAGUCUUAACUGGGCGUUAAGUUGCAGGGUAUAGACCCGAAACCCGGUGAUCUAGCCAUGGGCAGGUUGAAGGUUGGGUAACACUAACUGGAGGACCGAACCGACUAAUGUUGAAAAAUUAGCGGAUGACUUGUGGCUGGGGGUGAAAGGCCAAUCAAACCGGGAGAUAGCUGGUUCUCCCCGAAAGCUAUUUAGGUAGCGCCUCGUGAAUUCAUCUCCGGGGGUAGAGCACUGUUUCGGCAAGGGGGUCAUCCCGACUUACCAACCCGAUGCAAACUGCGAAUACCGGAGAAUGUUAUCACGGGAGACACACGGCGGGUGCUAACGUCCGUCGUGAAGAGGGAAACAACCCAGACCGCCAGCUAAGGUCCCAAAGUCAUGGUUAAGUGGGAAACGAUGUGGGAAGGCCCAGACAGCCAGGAUGUUGGCUUAGAAGCAGCCAUCAUUUAAAGAAAGCGUAAUAGCUCACUGGUCGAGUCGGCCUGCGCGGAAGAUGUAACGGGGCUAAACCAUGCACCGAAGCUGCGGCAGCGACACUAUGUGUUGUUGGGUAGGGGAGCGUUCUGUAAGCCUGUGAAGGUGUGCUGUGAGGCAUGCUGGAGGUAUCAGAAGUGCGAAUGCUGACAUAAGUAACGAUAAAGCGGGUGAAAAGCCCGCUCGCCGGAAGACCAAGGGUUCCUGUCCAACGUUAAUCGGGGCAGGGUGAGUCGACCCCUAAGGCGAGGCCGAAAGGCGUAGUCGAUGGGAAACAGGUUAAUAUUCCUGUACUUGGUGUUACUGCGAAGGGGGGACGGAGAAGGCUAUGUUGGCCGGGCGACGGUUGUCCCGGUUUAAGCGUGUAGGCUGGUUUUCCAGGCAAAUCCGGAAAAUCAAGGCUGAGGCGUGAUGACGAGGCACUACGGUGCUGAAGCAACAAAUGCCCUGCUUCCAGGAAAAGCCUCUAAGCAUCAGGUAACAUCAAAUCGUACCCCAAACCGACACAGGUGGUCAGGUAGAGAAUACCAAGGCGCUUGAGAGAACUCGGGUGAAGGAACUAGGCAAAAUGGUGCCGUAACUUCGGGAGAAGGCACGCUGAUAUGUAGGUGA
rnacentral:rRNA from 1 species